rfam:Rhizoclosmatium globosum strain JEL800 BCR33scaffold_37, whole genome shotgun sequence.
GGCCUUAUGGUCUAGUAGUAUGAUUCUCGCUUUGGGUGCGAGAGGUCCUGGGUUCAAUUCCCAGUGAGGCCC